rnacentral:rRNA from 1 species
GCUAGUCAUGUUUUGCAUUGGAUUGAGACAACGUACAAACCUUAUCGAUAAACAAUUGGAGGGCAAGUCUGGUGCCAGCAGCCGCGGUAAUUCCAGCUCCAAUAGCGUAUAUUAACGUUGUUGCAGUUAAAAAGCUCGUAGUUGAAAUGAAGGGUGGUUGUGUAAUGAAUACAUUCGUGUAUUUUGUUAUUCUACUACCCUCCUUCUAAAUUCGAUAUAUGAGUAUUAAUUUACUUGUAUAUGGUUUUAGACCUUUACUGUGAGAAAAUUAGAGUGUUCAAAGCAGGCAUUUGCUUGAAUAUAUUAGCAUGGAAUAAUCAUGUAUGAUUUUCAUGAUGUAUUUGAUUGGUUUGGUUCAUGAGAAUAAGAUUAAAAGGGACAGUUGGGGGUAUUCAUAUUCAAUAGUCAGAGGUGAAAUUCUCGGAUUUAUGGAAGAUGAACAGGGCCAAAAAAGAAA